CGGUCUGAAAAACAUUCACCAGAAUAGAAUGUUGCUUUUUACUUUGCUCCUUCUCAUUUACAUUGUGAUCUUCAUGGGUAAUUGCUUCAUCAUUGCUUUAGUGCCAACAAUGACUCACCUCCAUACACCUAUGUACUUCUUUCUGGGUAACCUCUCAUUAUCUGAUGUGUUGUUGACAACUAAUAUUGUACCCAACAUGCUACACAUUCUAUGGACAGAAGAAGAAGCCAUGUCAAUUGCUGGUUGCGUCUUGCAGUUCUAUAUUUUUGGUUCACUAACAGCUACAGAGUGUUUACUGUUAACAGUGAUGUCCUAUGACCGUUACCUGGCUAUAUGUAACCCACUUCGAUAUUCAUCCAUAAUGACCAGUACCCUUUGUCGUUCUCUCAUUUGUUUUUCUUGGCUUGUUGGAUUUAUCCCUACUCUUCCAGUUUCUGUAAGUGUAUACAAGUUGCAGUACUGUGAUCGGAACACUAUUGACCAUUUCUUCUGUGACCUUGCCCCAUUCUUAAACCUUGCAUGCUCAGACACUACAACAGUCAAAAUGUUAGCUUUCUUGUUGUCUUUUUUGGUUACGUUCUUUCCAUUUCUACUUAUUAUAAUGUCUUAUAUCUCCAUAAUGUAUACGAUUAUUAGGAUGCGCUCUGAGAAAGGAAGACAGAAGGCCUUCUCAACAUGCAGCUCCCAUCUUGUAGUAGUGUCCUUGUACUAUGGGACACUCUUUAUUCUCUAUGGCAUACCAGCACAAAAGCAUUUAAUAGGCAUUAACAAACUGCUUUCUCUUCU